rnacentral:tRNA from 1 species
UUAGAAGUGCCAGAAGUUUAAUGGAUUGGACUUAGAUUCCAGGUAUGGUUUAUUAUAAUCCCUUCUAAG